UCAGGGGUGCUAUACAGCUGAGAUAAAGUUUACUUUAAACCCUUAACCUGAUCCAGAUAAUGCUGGCGUAGGAAGAUGUUUU
rnacentral:ncRNA from 1 species